UACGUAGGGUGCAAGCGUUAAUCGGAAUUACUGGGCGUAAAGCGUGCGCAGGCGGUUCGGAAAGAAAGGUGUGAAAUCCCAGGGCUUAACCUUGGAACUGCACUUUUAACUACCGGGCUAGAGUACGUCAGAGGGGGGUAGAAUUCCACGUGUAGCAGUGAAAUGCGUAGAGAUGUGGAGGAAUACCGAUGGCGAAGGCAGCCCCCUGGGUCAAGAUUGACGCUCAUGCACGAAAGCGUGGGGAGCAAACAGG
rnacentral:rRNA from 1 species